GUGAGUAACACGUGGGUAACCUGCCCAUCAGAGGGGGAUAACAUCCGGAAACGGAUGCUAAAACCGCAUAGGUCUUCGAGCCGCAUGGCUUGAAGAGGAAAAGAGGCGCAAGCUUCUGCUGAUGGAUGGACCCGCGGUGCAUUAGCUAGUUGGUGAGGUAACGGCUCACCAAGGCAGUGAUGCAUAGCCGACCUGAGAGGGUGAUCGGCCACAUUGGGACUGAGACACGGCCCAAACUCCUACGGGAGGCAGCAGUAGGGAAUCUUCCGCAAUGGACGCAAGUCUGACGGAGCAACGCCGCGUGAGUGAAGAAGGUUUUCGGAUCGUAAAACUCUGUUGUUAGAGAAGAACAAGUGCUAGAGUAACUGUUAGCGCCUUGACGGUAUCUAACCAGAAAGCCACGGCUAACUACGUGCCAGCAGCCCCGGUAAUACGUAGGUGGCAAGCGUUGUCCGGAUUUAUUGGGCGUAAAGCGAGCGCAGGCGGUUCCUUAAGUCUGAUGUGAAAGCCCCCGGCUCAACCCGGGGAGGGUCAUUGGAAACUGGGGAACUUGAGUGCAGAAGAGGAGAGUGGAAU
rnacentral:rRNA from 1 species